UAGCUAGUUGGUGAGGUAAAGGCUUACCAAGGCGACGAUCUGUAGCGGGUCUGAGAGGAUGAUCCGCCACACUGGAACUGAGACACGGUCCAGACUCCUACGGGAGGCAGCAGUGGGGAAUUUUGGACAAUGGGGGCAACCCUGAUCCAGCCAUGCCGCGUGAGUGAAGAAGGCCUUCGGGUUGUAAAGCUCUUUCGGCCGGGAAGAAAUCGCAUGGGCCAAUACCCUGUGUGGAUGACGGUACCGGAAUAAGAAGCACCGGCUAACUACGUGCCAGCAGCCGCGGUAAUACGUAGGGUGCGAGCGUUAAUCGGAAUUACUGGGCGUAAAGCGUGCGCAGGCGGUUUUGUAAGACAGGCGUGAAAUCCCCGGGCUUAACCUGGGAACUGCGUUUGUGACUGCAAGGCUAGAGUACGGCAGAGGGGGGUGGAAUUCCACGUGUAGCAGUGAAAUGCGUAGAGAUGUGGAGGAACACCAAUGGCGAAGGCAGCCCCCUGGGUCGAUACUGACGCUCAUGCACGAAAGCGUGGGUAGCAAACAGGAUUAGAUACCCUGGUAGUCCACGCCCUAAACUAUGUCAACUAGGUGUUGGGUGGGUAAAACCAUUUAGUACCGUAGCUAACGCGUGAAGUUGACCGCCUGGGGAGUACGGCCGCAAGGUUAAAACUCAAAGGAAUUGACGGGGACCCGCACAAGCGGUGGAUGAUGUGGAUUAAUCCGAUGCAACGCGAAAAACCUUACCUACCCUUGACAUGCCAGGAACUUGCCAGAGAUGGCUUGGUGCCCGAAAGGGAGCCUGGACACAGGUGCUGCAUGGCUGUCGUCAGCUCGUGUCGUGAGAUGUUGGGUUAAGUCCCGCAACGAGCGCAACCCUUGUCGUUAAUUGCCAUCAUUUGGUUGGGCACUUUAACGAGACUGCCGGUGACAAACCGGAGGAAGGUGGGGAUGACGUCAAGUCCUCAUGGCCCUUAUGGGUAGGGCUUCACACGUCAUACAAUGGUCGGUACAAAGGGUUGCCAAGCCGCGAGGCGGAGCCAAUCCCAGAAAGCCGAUCGUAGUCCGGAUUGCAGGCUGCAACUCGCCUGCAUGAAGUCGGAAUCGCUAGUAAUCGUGGAUCAGCAUGUCACGGUGAAUACGUUCCCGGGUCUUGUACACACCGCCCGUCACACCAUGGGAGCGGGUUCCGCCAGAAGUAGGUAGCCUAACCGCAAGGGGGGCGCUUACCACGGCGGGGUUCGUGACUGGGGUGAAGUCGUAACAAGGUAGCCGUAGGGGAACCUGCGGCUG
rnacentral:rRNA from 1 species